UACAGAGACUGCAAGCGUUAUCCGGAAUGAUUGGGCGUAAAGCGUCCGUGGGUGGUUUUGUAAGUCUGUGGUUAAAGCGUGGGGCUCAACCCCAUAACGGCCAUGGAAACUACAAGACUUGAGUGAAGUAGGGGUAGAGGGAAUUCCCAGUGUAGCGGUGAAAUGCGUAGAGAUUGGGAAGAACACCGGUGGCGAAAGCGCUCUACUGGACUUAAACUGACACUGAGGGACGAAGGCUAGGGGAGCGAAAGGG
rnacentral:rRNA from 1 species